rnacentral:misc_RNA from 1 species
AAAUUAAUUAGAGGAUUUAAUGUCAGAAAGAAAUUUCAAAAAAUCAUUUCAGCACCUCCAUGGGGGGAAACUACAGAUAUUGAACAUGACAUUUAGACACUACACUAGUACAUCUUAAUAAUCAACAUGGAAUAGAUAGAGCAUUUUCCUUCCAUGAAACUGUUUAUCAUUGUAUUAUGCCAAAAGAACCAUUCUUUGGCUUCUCCUCAUACCUCAUAGAAUGGCAUUUGUUCAUAAUUAAGUCAUCACACUCCAAA